UUGCGCCGGCCGCCUUGUUGAGAGCAGCGCUCAGCAGCAUGAGUUACAAGGGUGAGCCCGGCGGCAUCCAGCCACGGAGGAAAUACACUUUACUUUCUCUCCCACCGGGAGAAAGAGCCUUCUCAGAGCCAUCAAGCAAUCUGAUUCCUGACCCCCGCAGGUGCCUCCCUCUAGAGUAAAUGGAAUUUACGUCUGUGCUCAUUGACCUUGGACUUGGCCAUAUGACUUGCUCUGACCAGUAGACUAUGGAUGAAAAUCAUGUGUGCCCAUCCUAAGCUGAGGCCUUAUGAGUUUCCACCAACAAUUUUGGAUCUUUUGCUCUCUCCCAUGAAAAGAACAGAUAGCUGUUCAUCCUUCUGCUUUGAUCCCAGGAUGAAGACAUGGAGCAGAUCUGUAGCCAACCUGAAGACUGGAGUCCACCUGAGCCCAGCCAUGCCCAGCCACUAUUAGCUUACACAUAACCAAUCUGCAGACCUGUGAGCAUGAAAUAAAUAAAUGUUUGCUGUUAUGGGCCA